GCUCAACCGGGGAGGGUCAUUGGAAACUGGGAAACUUGAGUGCAGAAGAGGAGAGUGGAAUUCCACGUGUAGCGGUGAAAUGCGUAGAGAUGUGGAGGAACACCAGUGGCGAAGGCGACUCUCUGGUCUGUAACUGACGCUGAGGAGCGAAAGCGUGGGGAGCGAACAGGAUUAGAUACCCUGGUAGUCCACGCCGUAAACGAUGAGUGCUAAGUGUUAGGGGGUUUCCGCCCCUUAGUGCUGCAGCUAACGCAUUAAGCACUCCGCCUGGGGAGUACGGUCGCAAGACUGAAACUCAAAGGAAUUGACGGGGGCCCGCACAAGUGGUGGAGCAUGUGGUUUAAUUCGAAGCAACGCGAAGAACCUUACCAGGUCUUGACAUCCUCUGACAACCCUAGAGAUAGGGCUUUCCCUUCGGGGACAGAGUGACAGGUGGUGCAUGGUUGUCGUCAGCUCGUGUCGUGAGAUGUUGGGUUAAGUCCCGCAACGAGCGCAACCCUUGAUCUUAGUUGCCAGCAUUCAGUUGGGCACUCUAAGGUGACUGCCGGUGACAAACCGGAGGAAGGUGGGGAUGACGUCAAAUCAUCAUGCCCCUUAUGACCUGGGCUACACACGUGCUACAAUGGACAGAACAAAG
rnacentral:rRNA from 1 species